rnacentral:sRNA from 1 species
ACCUUCACAAUAACCCCCGCGCCGGUAUCAAACCCUGCUUCCUUCAGCCAGUUACCCUUAAGGUUCAGGCUCGGAUGGCGUGAAUAAUAGCGUGUCCUUAAGGUCUUUGAAUCAGCGUGCCUCGCUG